rnacentral:rRNA from 1 species
GGAAAAAAGGGAGCUUGCUCCCUGAUGUUAGCGGCGGACGGGUGAGUAACACGUGGGUAACCUGCCUGUAAGACUGGGAUAACUCCGGGAAACCGGGGCUAAUACCGGAUAGUUCCUUGAACCGCAUGGUUCAAGGAUGAAAGACGGCUUCGGCUGUCACUUACAGAUGGACCCGCGGCGCAUUAGCUAGUUGGUGGGGUAAUGGCUCACCAAGGCGACGAUGCGUAGCCGACCUGAGAGGGUGAUCGGCCACACUGGGACUGAGACACGGCCCAGACUCCUACGGGAGGCAGCAGUAGGGAAUCUUCCGCAAUGGACGAAAGUCUGACGGAGCAACGCCGCGUGAGUGAUGAAGGUUUUCGGAUCGUAAAGCUCUGUUGUUAGGGAAGAACAAGUGCGAGUAGUAACUGGCUCGCACCUUGACGGUACCUAACCAGAAAGCCACGGCUAACUACGUGCCAGCAGCCGCGGUAAUACGUAGGUGGCAAGCGUUGUCCGGAAUUAUUGGGCGUAAAGGGCUCGCAGGCGGUUUGUUAAGUCUGAUGUGAAAGCCCCCGGCUCAACCGGGGAGGGUCAUUGGAAACUGGGAAACUUGAGUGCAGAAGAGGAAAGUGGAAUUCCAAGUGUAGCGGUGAAAUGCGUAGAGAUUUGGAGGAACACCAGUGGCGAAGGCGACUUUCUGGUCUGUAACUGACGCUGAGGAGCGAAAGCGUGGGGAGCAAACAGGAUUAGAUACCCUGGUAGUCCACGCCGUAAACGAUGAGUGCUAAGUGUUAGGGGGUUUCCGCCCCUUAGUGCUGCAGCUAACGCAUUAAGCACUCCGCCUGGGGAGUACGGUCGCAAGACUGAAACUCAAAGGAAUUGACGGGGGCCCGCACAAGCGGUGGAGCAUGUGGUUUAAUUCGAAGCAACGCGAAGAACCUUACCAGGUCUUGACAUCCUCUGACAACCCUAGAGAUAGGGCUUUCCCUUCGGGGACAAGAGUGACAGGUGGUGCAUGGUUGUCGUCAGCUCGUGUCGUGAGAUGUUGGGUUAAGUCCCGCAACGAGCGCAACCCUUGAUCUUAGUUGCCAGCAUUAAGUUGGGCACUCUAAGGUGACUGCCGGUGACAAACCGGAGGAAGGUGGGGAUGACGUCAAAUCAUCAUGCCCCUUAUGACCUGGGCUACACACGUGCUACAAUGGACAGAUACAAACGGUUGCCAACUCGCGAGAGGGAGCUAAUCCCAUAAAGUCGUUCUCAGUUCGGAUCGCAGUCUGCAACUCGACUGCGUGAAGCCGGAAUCGCUAGUAAUCGCGGAUCAGCAUGCCGCGGUGAAUACGUUCCCGGGCCUUGUACACACCGCCCGUCACACCACGAGAGUUUGUAACACCCGAAGUCGGUGGGGUAACCUUUUGGAGCCAGCCGCCGAAGGUGGGAUAGAUGAUUGGGCGCUGAAGUCGUAACAAG